rnacentral:rRNA from 1 species
AGGACGAACGCUGGCGGCGUGCUUAACACAUGCAAGUCGAGCGGAAAGGCCCUUCGGGGUACUCGAGCGGCGAACGGGUGAGUAACACGUGAGCAAUCUGCCCUUAGCUUCGGGAUAGCUCCGGGAAACCGGAAUUAAUACCGGAUAUGACUAUGGCUGACAUCAGCCACGGUGGAAAGUUUUUCGGCUAGGGAUGAGCUCGCGGCCUAUCAGCUAGUUGGUGGGGUAACGGCCUACCAAGGCGACGACGGGUAGCCGGCCUGAGAGGGCGACCGGCCACACUGGGACUGAGACACGGCCCAGACUCCUACGGGAGGCAGCAGUGGGGAAUAUUGCGCAAUGGGCGAAAGCCUGACGCAGCGACGCCGCGUGAGGGAAGAAGGCCUUCGGGUUGUAACCUCUUUCAGGAGGGACGAAGCCACUCGGGUUAAUAGCCCAGAGGGUGACGGUACCUCCGAGAACGAAGCCCCGGCUAACUACGUGCCAGCAGCCGC